rnacentral:rRNA from 1 species
UGGGGAAUAUUGCACAAUGGGCGCAAGCCUGAUGCAGCAACGCCGCGUGAGGGACGACGGCCUUCGGGUUGUAAACCUCUUUUAGUAGGGAAGAAGCGAAAGUGACGGUACCUGCAGAAAAAGCACCGGCUAACUACGUGCCAGCAGCCGCGGUAAUACGUAGGGUGCAAGCGUUGUCCGGAAUUAUUGGGCGUAAAGAGCUCGUAGGCGGUUUGUCGCGUCUGCUGUGAAAAACCCCGAGGCUCAACCUCGGGCCUGCAGUGGGUACGGGCAGACUAGAGUGCGGUAGGGGAGAAUGGAAUUCCUGGUGUAGCGGUGGAAUGCGCAGAUAUCAGGAGGAACACCGAUGGCGAAGGCAGUUCUCUGGGCCGUAACUGACGCUGAGGAGCGAAAGCGUGGGGAGCGAACAGGAUUAGAUACCCUGGUAGUCCACGCCGUAAACGUUGGGCGCUAGAUGUGGGG